GAUGAACGCUGACAGAAUGCUUAACACAUGCAAGUCUACUUGAACUUCGGUUUGGGUGGCGGACGGGUGAGUAACGCGUAAAGAACUUGCCUCACAGUUAGGGACAACAUUUGGAAACGAAUGCUAAUACCUGAUAUUAUGAUUUUAGGGCAUCCUAGGAUUAUGAAAGCUAUAUGCGCUGUGAGAGAGCUUUGCGUCCCAUUAGCUAGUUGGAGAGGUAACGGCUCACCAAGGCGAUGAUGGGUAGCCGGCCUGAGAGGGUGAACGGCCACAAGGGGACUGAGACACGGCCCUUACUCCUACGGGAGGCAGCAGUGGGGAAUAUUGGACAAUGGACCAAAAGUCUGAUCCAGCAAUUCUGUGUGCACGAUGACGUUUUUCGGAAUGUAAAGUGCUUUCAGUUGGGAAGAAAAAAAUGACGGUACCAACAGAAGAAGUGACGGCUAAAUACGUG
rnacentral:rRNA from 1 species